CUCUUCUCUGUGGUACUGUUUUGAUUUGAAUAAAUUAUUAUACAAGCUUUACUAACUGAUCUACACCUCCCAGUCUUAUGUUUUGUUAAAACCUUAUUAUGAGAUGAAAAUGUAAUUUUAUUUAGUAUACUGUUGAGUGUUUUUUGAAUGUGAUAAUUGAGUUUCUUAUCUAAAAUAUUUAAAAGUGAAUAUAGAACUAUCUUUUUGCAAAUAUUGCUGUAAUAGCCGGUUCUUGAAGAAUGAAGUGCAAGAAUAUUUCGGCUGAGUUCCAUCGUGAAAGAGUUGGCGUUGCAUCUAGUGCAGAUGCUCGAUUCACCCAUAACAAGAUCGAAGAAUGGAUUGAUAAUCUUGAUAUUCAUGCUUAAGGCAGGCUCUAUCUUGAAAUAGUAGAUGCUCCUCCAGUGCUCGAUUUGGAUUUUCUAUCAAUACUAAGCUUGAAGCUUUGGCUUUUCCACUGAAAAUUAUGCUCAACGCUAGUGGAAGGGGAAUAAUUUUCAGUGAAAAGGCCACAGUUCUAAUUGAGACGUUACCGGAAAACAUCGUGUAACGGUGUGCGAGCCUCGGUCCUCUGAAUGGGUCAAUUUCCCAUCCAGAGGGACUAAUUGACAAAUUUCAGUUAUCAGUAAUUUUUAUCUAUAUAAAUAGGAAAUCAAAUUUUAUAGAGUUAGUAAGAGAAGAAUCAGGAAAU